GAUGAAGAACGCAGCGAAAUGCGAUAAGUAAUGUGAAUUGCAGAAUUCAGUGAAUCAUCGAAUCUUUGAACGCUCAUUGCGCCCUCUGGUAUUCCGGGGGGCAUGCCUGUUCGAGCGUCAUUAUAACCACUCAAGCUCUCGCUUGGUAUUGGGGUUCGCGGUUCCGCGGCCCCUAAAAUCAGUGGCGGUGCCUGUCGGCUCUACGCGUAGUAAUACUCCUCGCGAUUGAGUCCGGUAGGUCUACUUGCCAGCAACCCCCAAUUUUUACAGGUUGACCUCGGAUCAGGUAGGGAUACCCGCUGAACUUAAGCAUAUCAAUAAGCGGAGGA
rnacentral:misc_RNA from 1 species